UUUAUUUAGAGAGUUUGAUCCUGGCUCAGGAUGAACGCUGGCGGCGUGCUUAACACAUGCAAGU
rnacentral:rRNA from 1 species